rnacentral:rRNA from 1 species
CCCGACUGCUAUUUGGGUGAGGAUAAGCCAUGCGAGUCGAAUGGGAUACCUAAAUUUCCCAUGGCGAACUGCUCAAUAACACAUGAUCAACUUACCCUAUAGAGAAAAAUAACCUCGGGAAACUGAGGAUAAUGUUUCAUAGUUGAAAAGGCUUGGAAAAGUUUUUCGACCAGAGGGAUAAGAAAAAUGGUUUUUAUCCGCUAUAGGAUAGGAUCGUGGUCGAUUAUGGUCGUUGGUGAGGUAAUGGCUCACCAAGCCGAUAAUCGAUAGGGGCCGUGAGAGCGGGAGCCCCGAGAUGGGUACUGAGACAGCGACCCAGGCCUUACGAGGCGCAGCAGGCGCGGAACCUCCGCAAUACACGAAAGUGUGACGGGGUUACCCAAAGUGUUCAAUUUUGAACUGUGGUAGGUGAGUAAUGUUCCCUACUAGAAAGGAGAGGGCAAGGCUGGUGCCAGCCGCCGCGGUAAAACCAGCUCUUCAAGUGGUCGGGAUAAUUAUUGGGCUUAAAGUGUCCGUAGCCGGUUUAGUAAGUUCCUGGUAAAAUCGGGUAGCUUAACUAUCUGCAUGCUAGGAAUACUGCUAUACUAGAGGACGGGAGAGGUCUGAGGUACUACAGGGGUAGGGGUGAAAUCUUAUAAUCCUUGUAGGACCACCAGUGGCGAAGGCGUCAGACUGGAACGUGCCUGACGGUGAGGGACGAAAGCCAGGGGAGCAAACCGGAUUAGAUACCCGGGUAGUCCUGGCCGUAAACGAUGCAUACUAGGUGAUGGCAUGGCCAUGAGCCGUGUCAGUGCCGUAGGGAAACCGUUAAGUGUGCCGCCUGGGAAGUACGGUCGCAAGGCUAAAACUUAAAGGAAUUGGCGGGGGAGCACCACAAGGGGUGAAGUCUGCGGUUC